rnacentral:rRNA from 1 species
CGUGAAUAUCAGAUCUUGAACGCAAAUUGCGCUUGCAGUAACUUGCAAGCACGCCUCUUUGAGUGUCGGUUUACCUUCUUCCUGGCAGCGUGCUGUCUUUGUGAAGGCUUGUGUGAGCUGUCUUUGAGUGUUCNUUCACUCGGAGUCGCUUUAAACAUAACGCAGAUGGACCUGAAGACGCCGGAACCGUUUUCAGACGUGGAUAACUUCAUCUCUUCAAUGAGAUGGUCCAAUACGUCAGAAGACCUCCAGCUAUCAGCUUCGGGAGUAAUCCAUUGCCGGACACGCUUCGACGAGCUCUGCAGUCAUCCUUCAGAGCUUUCGAGCAAUAGGUCGCAUUAGCAAGCAAUUGCCUGCGGCUGAACCACCAAACAGACCUCAAAUGAAGCGAGAGGACCCGGUGAAUUUAAGCAUAUUAUUAACCGGAGGAAAAGAAACUAACAAGGAUUCCC